UACAUAGGUCGCAAGCGUUAUCCGGAAUUAUUGGGCGUAAAGAGUUCGUAGGUUGUUUGUUAAGUCUGAAGUUAAAUACUGGAGCUCAACUCCAGCUCGCUUUGGAUACUGACAAACUAGAAUUGCAAAGAGGUUAGCGGAAUUCCUAGUGAAGCGGUGGAAUGCGUAGAUAUUAGGAAGAACACCAAUUGGCGAAGGCAGCUAACUGGGUGUAUAUUGACACUGAGGAACGAAAGCGUGGGGAGCAAACA
rnacentral:rRNA from 1 species